GCCUGGUUAGUACUUGGAUGGUGACCGCCUGGGAAUACCAGGU
rnacentral:rRNA from 10 species